AUCACUUCUCGGACUUUUGGCUAAGAUCAAAGUGUAGUAUCUGUUCUUAUUAGCUUAAUAUCUGAUGUGGCCCUUAUUGAGGGCCCAGAAUAUUAAACUGAUUUUUGGAAUCAGGUGAGGUGCUCGGAGCUUGCUCCACCCUUGCUCUUCCCGAAGUACCUCCAGGAUUGGCCCUCGGGAGAAAUAU
rnacentral:snRNA from 1 species